GGUAUUAAAGUAUUUCCUCCUUGCAUGUUGAUCUGCCUUAUGGAAGGGAACUUGGGAACCUUCAGCAUGUAAUUUUGAUGUGUCAGUUGUGCUGUAAAUACAUUCUCUCUGGCCAUUGCAGACUUCAGAAAAAUUGUCCAAGUUGAAAGAGAUGGUGAGAUGGACAGGUGCAAGGUUUGUGUCCAGCCACAGCCUGAAGCAAAAUGGACAUUAGAGAGGCUGGAUGCAGGGAAGGACAGGAAAUAUAUCUGCCAGUUCUGAUGUAGAGAAGGUGGUGGGCUGGGGGACUCUAGGCUCACUUUCACAUCUGACUGUUGGAGUGGAAAAAUGAGGCUGGUUGUGUUCACAGAGUAUUGGGUUUUUUCUUUAAAGUCAAGAAAGGUAUGACAAAGCACCCGGGAAGCUUAGGGAAAAGAAACCUCUUCUCUGUAAAGAAACACACUCCUCAGAGCUGCAAAGUGAGCCAAUAUUGAAAGUUCCCAAUGGCUGAAAUCAAGACAAGUGCCAAAAGUAAAUGAAGGAUGGAGAAGCCAGUACCACACAUGAGGAAAAAUCUGGGAGCGCAGCCAACAGCAGCAGCAGGAAUAAAAGCCAAACACUGCGAUUCCAACCAGAACAAUUCUUCCCUCUUCCCGCCACAGGAACCUAAAAAGCCCCCUGGAAAGCUUUGGAAUUAGGGCUUUCCUGAAUAACACACACCUGUGGGUUAUUUACCUUGUGUUUGGUAUUGCUGCGUCUCAGCAAGAAACCUGCCAUCACUAGAGAGGACUAAGCUAGAAGAUACUGUGACCAAGAAAACCACAGACAGGAAAUUGGACUUAUUUUCCAGAACAUAAGCUUUCCAUCAUGCAUCAGGUAAAAGAACAUUCCAUGAUUUUUCACUGUUCUAAGCAACAGAGGAACGUGCAUUUGUGUGCCUGUGUAUGUUUGUGAACUUUUGUGUUUA